GCCGGGCGCGGUGGCUCACGCCUGUAAUCCCAGCACUUUGGGAGGCCGAGGCGGGUGGAUCACCUGAGGUCAGGAGUUCAAGACCAGCCUGACCAACAUGGAGAAACCCCGUCUCUA
rfam:Gorilla gorilla gorilla genomic chromosome, chrX, whole genome shotgun sequence